UCAAAGUUUUCUUGGUUGAAGACUCGCUUCCCAAAAUUAACUGGAUGAAGCAACAGAAUCGUCUGAGAAGAGAACUAAAGUGAUCCUAUAGUGUUAAAGUUUUUGUGAACUGGACUUAACGCUCUUCAGUUCAAGAUAAUAACGAUUGGCGGAAUAUUCUUGCACGGAGUUCGGCCUCUGUGGUGCGCUGCCGUCGGGGGCCAGUACGCGGUCAUUGACUACCUCCUUUCCAAAGGAGCCAAUGUGAAUGGCAUUACCAGAUUCAAAAGCACUCCUCUGCGAGCAGCGUGUAUCCAUGGCCACCUCGAUAUUGCCAAACUUCUUGUGGAACACGGAGCCUCCACCGAGACUACUGAUCCAUACUCGUUCACUUGUCUGAUGCUCGCUGCUCACAACUGCCGUCUGGAAAUUGUGAAAUACCUUUUAGAAAUUGGCGUUGACGUGAACGGUAAGAGUAUAGACGGG